rnacentral:rRNA from 1 species
AUUGAACGCUGGCGGAAUGCUUAACACAUGCAAGUCGAGCGGGCUGUAGCAAUACAGCUAGCGGCGGACGGGUGAGGAAUACAUAGGAAUCUGCCGCAGAGUGGGGGAUAGCCCGGGGAAACCCGGAUUAAUACCGCAUGAUGUCGUAAGACCAAAGCAGGGGACCGUAAGGCCUUGCGCUUUGAGAUGAGCCUAUGUCGGAUUAGCUAGUUGGCGGGGUAAAAGCCCACCAAGGCGACGAUCCGUAGCUGGUCUGAGAGGACGAUCAGCCACACCGGAACUGAGACACGGUCCGGACUCCUACGGGAGGCAGCAGUGGGGAAUAUUGGACAAUGGGCGCAAGCCUGAUCCAGCAAUUCCGCGUGUGUGAAGAAGGCCU